UGUCACUGACAGCUCAGAAGGCACUGACUGCAGCUUAGAACCGUGGGGACCGGAAGGGACCGCCACUCUUCACAGCACCACACCCCUUCCCCUUCAUGGUUCACCCUCCUCCCUGCCUCCUGCAUGCAGGACUCGUGAGGACCCACGUCCCUGAAGCUACUUUACAGACAAAAGUACCUGUACGGCACAAUGUCAUGGGGGACAUGAUUCACACAGUUUCUAAGUUCCCUCCACUCGGACACCCUGGCUUCCUGCCCACUGACUCAGGGUAUGGUGAUUGGCUUACCUUGGUCAAAAGAAGGGGACUUGGACAGCUCAGACCCCGGCCAGCCAGAGGCCUUCCAUACCUGCACUCAAGUGCUCUAUCAAGUGAUGGAUUCUUGGACUUCUGACUUGCCCUGUAAGUGGCCCCAAGCUGGAACCCACCCAGGAGCCUGAAGAGCUCCAUGAUCCCCCAGAGAAUCUACAGACCUAUGAGCCAGAAAUAAACAUUUGUUGUUAUAA